AUGAAGUUUGGCGGCAAAAGAAAAUCUCUCUCUCUCUCUCAAGUCUCAAGCAGUCUCUUUCUCUCUCUAAAAUUACAUGCAUGCCGACAACAGUAGGUGAGUUUCUUUGCUGGAUAUUUCAAAUCCAAUUCAUCUCUGCGACGUCAAUGACGUUUUCAUAUCGUCACUAUUCUACCACAUUAAUACUGCUUCAACUACUUGUGUUAUUCUUAAUCUUGUACUCUUAUAAAACCCUUUUUGCUUUUAAUAAAAUACGGCUCAAUCUUGCCGAGUUUUUUAUUUUUUUUCGAAAAGGGUUGUCAAGAAUUCUUAUUCUUGUUCAUAAGGGUUUGUCAAGAUUUGAUCUUUUUGAGUUUUUGAGUGUUGGGUGAGUUGGGUUUUGUGGUAAAGGUGUGAUCUUUAGGGUUUGUGAUUGGGGGUUUGAGAAAGAUGGACGGUUUGGAUGGGGGAAAGAAGGGGGCUGAUGAAAUUGGGGGCGGUUUUGAUGGUGGGGUUGGUAAAAGAUUGGAUUUUGAUGGUGUGAGUGCGCAAAAGAGGGGGUUUAGUGAAACUGGGGGUGAUGCUGAUUGUGGGGUUUGUGAAAGAUGGGGUUUUGAUGGUGAAAGAUUGGAUUUUGAUGGUGGAGUUUCUGAGAGAUUGAAAAUUGACGGCGGGGUUGGGGAAAAAUUGGAUUUCGUUGGUGAGAACUCGGGUGGCUUCAGUGAGAAGAAGAAGGGGGUUGAUGGAAUUGGGGGUGGUUUGGAUGGCGGGGUUUGUGAAGGAGUGGAUUUUGAUUGUUCGAAUUCGGGUGGGUUGAAUGGGAAAAAUAAGGGGGUUGAUGGAAUUGGGGGUUGUUUGGAUGGGAGGGUUUGUGAAAAUUUGGAUUAUGAUGGUUUGAAUUUGGGUGCUUUGAGUGGGAAAAGGAGGGUGGUUGAUGAAAUUGAGGGUGGUUUGGACGGUGGUGUGUGUGAAAAAUCUGAUCUUGCUGGAGGGGUCUGUGAAGAACUGGAUUUUGAGACUUCAAAUGCGGGUAAUUUGACGGGGAGAAAGAGGGGGAUUGAUGAGUGUGGGGGUGAGGUUGAUCAGGUUGCUGGUGAAAGUGCGGCUGGUGGUAGCCGAUACACCGGAGUGGACAAGGGAAAGGGAAAAGAAAUACAACCUUCGAUUUCCUCCGAUGAAGAACUCGAGUUGGUGCAACAUUUGGAGUAUUUUAUGAAUUCUGAUCCAGCACCUGAUUUGCAGCCACCUGAAAUAUUUCAGCAGAAUGAAGUUGGAGUUCGGGAGUUAGAUUAUUUAAACCAACAACAAGAUGCUGUAUUAGGUUUCCAGAGAGAACAGGAUUACAGAGAACCAGAGGUAAGAAAUGAAGAGUUGGCAAGGAUUGUCGAGGACGAUAUACAAUGGCUUGAAGAUAGAAAACGUGCUCGUCGUCAAUUUGCACUUCGAUUUGCACGUCCUUCAGGAGAGGAUUGGGAUGGAGAGUCUUCAGCUAGUAAUCCGAAUGUUCCGUCAACUGCACGGAACAUGAAGCAGAGUGAUCAUCCAUUGAUUAGAUGGAAACCUUUGGAAAAUGAUGAUAAUAUCCCACGGCGUUUUGUCCCUUCACUGCUUGAUCUCUCUUUAACUGUCCUUGCUAGUAAUGCUGACAUGAUUUUGUCUCUCAAAGGAGUCCCUGACACAUUAAAGAAAAGACUCUGCAAUCUGGUGUGUGAUUCCAGGAAAAUGAAUGCCAGGGUUCUGGAUCUCUUUAUAAGAGAUUCUCCAGAAGAAAUUCGUGUGAAAGACGCAUCCUGGAUUACAGGGGACCAAUUUAAAAAGUCAUUUGGGAGUUUCAACUUUAAAAAUUUGAAGGUUUUCCAAUUUGACCUCUGCGGGCGAUGCAUCUCUGAUGAAGUAAUAGCUGCAACCCUAGCUCGGCCUUUAAGUAGCUUGCCUGGUCUGGGUAUCAUAUCCCUGAGGGGUGCAUGUCAUCUAUCAGACGAGGCCUUGAAAGUCCUUGUUACGUUGGCACCUGGACUAUGUUCUAUAAAUUUGGGCGAGUGUUCCCUCCUCACCCACAUUGGCAUAAAUUAUAUAGCAGAUGUUCUCGGAAACUGUUUGAGGGAGCUGAUGAUAGAUUAUUGCUACAGAAUAGAUGCUAAAGAUCUAGUUUCAGCACUCAAGAAGUUUAAAUAUUUGGAAGUUUUAUCAGUAGCAGGGAUUCCAAAUUUAUGUGAUGGUAUUUUAACUGACAUUAUCACUGCGAGUGGCAGAAAUAUUAGGGAUCUUGAUCUCACAGAUUGCGAGAGGUUGACUGACUCUUCUUUGAAGAUCAUUGGUCAAACUUGUUCGGACUUACGUGCCCUUAAUAUUGUUAACCUGCAAAACUUAACUGAUGUAGGAUUAUCUUAUCUUGCCAAUGGUUGUCAAUCAAUUCGAAGCCUCAAACUUGGUCGCAAUAAAUUCAGUGAUGAAGCUAUUGCUAAAUUCAUUGAGAUAGCAGGAAGGUUGCUAGAGGAACUCUCACUGAAUCAUGUUAGCCAGCAACUGCAUCCUAUACAGAGGUGGCCCUGAAGUUGUAAUAAUACUACGAUACUUGUCCGCUGCUACUUUUUAUUUUACCAAAACUAGGAUGUUAUCAAAACAUAUUUCAGCUAAAGUUUUUGAAUUCCUAAUUCCUGUAUAAAAAGUUCUUAAACUUUUUGAUAUAUGUUUUAGUGUUAUGUUUAUUGCAAUUUGCAAAUACUAAUGUUCUAUGCAAUUAUAUACUGAAUUUAUUCAAAUAUUUGGAUAUGUUAAAACAUAAGUUGCACUAAAAUAACAACAAAAUACAGUGCUAAACAAAUUCUGAUCACUUUAUACUUUAUAGACACUAAAAUAACAACAAAAUACAGUGCUAAACAAAUUCUGAUCACUUUAUAGACGGUACAGAGUUGUACAUAUUAACGGGCACUUUAGAUUUGUUAAAACUGAAUUUUGUAAAGUCCUUUUUAUGGUCAAAUAAUUUUUAACAGAAAUAAAAUUAGGAAUACCAGGUGUUGUAUAUACAUGAAAGUCAAAGUCAUCAUAUUUUUCAGGUGAUCUUUUUGAUCUUAACUAAUAUUUGUAUAGUCAGGAAUCUUAUGUAGCUAGGAGAGCUUUGGUAAUUACAACAAGGAUAUCUUCUGUAAUUACUACAGAGAUUCCCCUCGUUUCGUGUGUAUAGAGGCAAAUCCAAGGGAAUUACACCUAUUUUGGCAUGGGGAUGAGAGUCAUAUAUCCUGCCCUAAUUUUCUUUCUUCUACAGAAGUUCUCAAUCAGAAUCUCUCUCAUUCUGUUUCUGCUGUUUUCACCAUCCAUUUUCUCUUUUGUGAACACUCCUGAAUAACAAAAUUCUGCAACAUUACACCCUUCCCCUCUGCCAUCUUCCCUUCACCCUGCACAACCUGGCAGCAACAUCAGGACACGGAAGGUUCAAUACCACUCUUGGACAGCUUUUUUAGGUUGCUGCAUGUGCUCACUGUGUCAUCAAUCAUAUUGAUGUUACAAAUUUUGGUACCAUGCUAAGUAAGGCCAAGUUGGCCCCUUAACUGCGCUCUCACUUGCCAAAUUCUCGCAAAAGCUGUUGAGUUUGGAUCUCUCAUGGUGUCGUAAAGUAACAGAUGAGGAGCUGGGAUUGAUUGUGGACAGCUGCUGGUCACUGAAGC